ACGGGAGGCAGCAGUGGGGAAUAUUGCACAAUGGGCGAAAGCCUGAUGCAGCAACGCCGCGUGAAGGAUGAAGGUCUUCGGAUCGUAAACUUCAAAACCUAGGGAAGAAGAUCUGACGGUACCUAGGGUUAAGCCCCGGCUAACUACGUGCCAGCAGCCGCGGUAAUACGUAGGGGGCGAGCGUUAUCCGGAAUUAUUGGGCGUAAAGAGUGCGUAGGUGGUUACCUAAGCAGGGGGUGAAAGGCACUGGCUUAACCAAUGUCAGCCCCCUGAACUGGGCUACUUGAGUGCAGGAGAGGAAAGCGGAAUUCCUAGUGUAGCGGUGAAAUGCGUAGAUAUUAGGAGGAACACCAGUGGCGAAGGCGGCUUUCUGGACUGUUACUGACACUGAGGCACGAAAGUGUGGGGAGCAAACAGGAUUAGAUACCCUGGUA
rnacentral:rRNA from 2 species